CAGUAGCCGCGGUAAUACGUAGGGUGCAAGCGUUAAUCGGAAUUACUGGGCGUAAAGCGUGCGCAGGCGGUUCGCUAAGACAGAUGUGAAAUCCCCGGGCUUAACCUGGGAACUGCAUUUGUGACUGGCGGGCUAGAGUAUGGCAGAGGGGGGUAGAAUUCCACGUGUAGCAGUGAAAUGCGUAGAGAUGUGGAGGAAUACCGAUGGCGAAGGCAGCCCCCUGGGCCAAUACUGACGCUCAUGCACGAGAGCGUGGGGAGCAAACAGGAUUAGAUACCCGUGUAGUCCCUGUCUCUUAUAC
rnacentral:rRNA from 1 species